AUUGAACGCUGGUGGCAGGCCUAACACAUGCAAGUCGAACGAGUGGCGGACGGGUGAGUAAUGUCCGGGAAACUGCCUGAUGGAGGGGGAUAACUACUGGAAACGGUAGCUAAUACCGCAUACCAUCGGAUGUGCCCAGAUGGGAUUAGCUAGUGGGGGGGGUAACGGCUCACCUAGGCGACGAUCCCUAGCUGGACUGAGAGGAUGACCGGCCACACUGGAACUGAGACACGGUCCAGACUCCUACGGGAGGCAGCAGUGGGGAAGAUUGCGCAAUGGGCGCAAGCCUGAUGCAGCCAUGCCGCGUGUAUGAAGAAGGCUUUCGGGUUGUAAAGUACUUUCAGCGGGGAGGCGUUACCCGCACAGGAAGCCCCGGCUAACUCCGUGCCAGCAGCCGCGGUAAUUC
rnacentral:rRNA from 1 species